rnacentral:rRNA from 1 species
GACGAACGCUGGCGGCGUGCCUAAUACAUGCAAGUAGAACGCUGAAGGAGGAGCUUGCUCUUCUGGAUGAGUUGCGAACGGGUGAGUAACGCGUAGGUAACCUGCCUGGUAGCGGGGGAUAACUAUUGGAAACGAUAGCUAAUACCGCAUAACAGUAGAUGCUGCAUGACAUUUGCUUAAAAGGUGCAAUUGCAUCACUACCAGAUGGACCUGCGUUGUAUUAGCUAGUUGGUGGGGUAACGGCUCACCAAGGCGACGAUACAUAGCCGACCUGAGAGGGUGAUCGGCCACACUGGGACUGAGACACGGCCCAGACUCCUACGGGAGGCAGCAGUAGGGAAUCUUCGGCAAUGGACGGAAGUCUGACCGAGCAACGCCGCGUGAGUGAAGAAGGUUUUCGGAUCGUAAAGCUCUGUUGUAAGAGAAGAACGAGUGUGAGAGUGGAAAGUUCACACUGUGACGGUAUCUUACCAGAAAGGGACGGCUAACUACGUG